AUAUAAAACAAAAGAAAAUAAAAAAAGAGAAGAAGGGAAGAAACAGAAUAGUAGAAACGAAACAGAGAGGGAAGGAAGGAAAGAAAGAAAAGAAAUAAAAAAAGGGAAAAUUUAAGGUUUGAAGCUUGAAGUUUAAUUUGGUUAAGUAAAGAUAGAACGUUGAAUCAGCAUCCCAGGCCGAUCUCAAAUUCAAUGAGGUAAAGUGUGUUAAUUAUGGGUAAUGGCAUGUACUUAGGAUGUCUUAUGUGCGUGUCAUUUUGAAAUUGUAAAUGUAAGGAUGAAAUAAAUAAAUUUAGGGUUUGGUUAUGGUAUAAAAUAGGAUUUGAAUAAUUUGGUAUGAAUUUGAAUUUUUAUGAGACAAUAUCAGAUUGAUUUCGGAA